GAGGGGCAUCAGGAAGAAAGCUUGCUUUCUUUGCUGGCGACCGGCGCACGGGUGAGUAACACGUAUCCAACCUGCCCUUUACUCGGGGAUAGCCUUUCGAAAGAAAGAUUAAUACCCGAUAGCAUAAUGAUUCCGCAUGGUUUCAUUAUUAAAGGAUUCCGGUAAAGGAUGGGGAUGCGUUCCAUUAGGUUGUUGGUGAGGUAACGGCCCACCAAGCCUUCGAUGGAUAGGGGUUCUGAGAGGAAGGUCCCCCACAUUGGAACUGAGACACGGUCCAAACUCCUACGGGAGGCAGCAGUGAGGAAUAUUGGUCAAUGGGCGCUAGCCUGAACCAGCCAAGUAGCGUGAAGGAUGAAGGCUCUAUGGGUCGUAAACUUCUUUUAUAUAAGAAUAAAGUGCAGUAUGUAUACUGUUUUGUAUGUAUUAUAUGAAUAAGGAUCGGCUAACUCCGUGCCAGCAGCCGCGGUAAUACGGAGGAUCCGAGCGUUAUCCGGAUUUAUUGGGUUUAAAGGGAGCGUAGGUGGACUGGUAAGUCAGUUGUGAAAGUUUGCGGCUCAACCGUAAAAUUGCAGUUGAUACUGUCAGUCUUGAGUACAGUAGAGGUGGGCGGAAUUCGUGGUGUAGCGGUGAAAUGCUUAGAUAUCACGAAGAACUCCGAUUGCGAAGGCAGCUCACUGGACUGCAACUGACACUGAUGCUCGAAAGUGUGGGUAUCAAACAGGAUUAGAUACCCUGGUAGUCCACACAGUAAACGAUGAAUACUCGCUGUUUGCGAUAUACAGUAAGCGGCCAAGCGAAAGCAUUAAGUAUUCCACCUGGGGAGUACGCCGGCAACGGUGAAACUCAAAGGAAUUGACGGGGGCCCGCACAAGCGGAGGAACAUGUGGUUUAAUUCGAUGAUACGCGAGGAACCUUACCCGGGCUUAAAUUGCAGUGGAAUGAUGUGGAAACAUGUCAGUGAGCAAUCACCGCUGUGAAGGUGCUGCAUGGUUGUCGUCAGCUCGUGCCGUGAGGUGUCGGCUUAAGUGCCAUAACGAGCGCAACCCUUAUCUUCAGUUACUAACAGGUCAUGCUGAGGACUCUGGAGAGACUGCCGUCGUAAGAUGUGAGGAAGGUGGGGAUGACGUCAAAUCAGCACGGCCCUUACGUCCGGGGCUACACACGUGUUACAAUGGGGGGUACAGAAGGCAGCUAGCGGGUGACCGUAUGCUAAUCCCAAAAUCCUCUCUCAGUUCGGAUCGAAGUCUGCAACCCGACUUCGUGAAGCUGGAUUCGCUAGUAAUCGCGCAUCAGCCACGGCGCGGUGAAUACGUUCCCGG
rnacentral:rRNA from 1 species